UUAACCGAAGCCGCGGAUGCACUGAUUAUUCAGUGCGUGGUAGGGGAGCGUUCUGUAAGUCUGCGAAGGCGGUUCGAGAGGACUGCUGGAGAUAUCAGAAGUGCGAAUGCUGACAUGAGUAACGUUAAAGCAGGUGAAAAGCCUGCUCGCCGUAAGCCCAAGGAUUCCUGCUCUACGUUCAUCGGAGCAGGGUGAGUCGGCUCCUAAGGUCAGGCCGAAAGGCGUAGCCGAUGGGAAUCAGGUUAAUAUUCCUGAACCUGCGUCAGAUGCGAUGGGGGGACGGAGCAUGAAAGAUCAUCCGGGUGUUGGAAGUCCCGGUUGACGAGCGUAGGAGGUCUGCAGGCAAAUCCGCAGACGCAUCUCCAAGGCAAAGACACGUGCCGCUACGGCGGCGAAGUGAUCGGAAGUGCUUCCAAGAAAAGCCUCUAAGCCCCAGUCUGACGCGGACCGUACCGCAAACCGACACUGGUGGGCGAGCUGAAUAUGCUCAGGCGCUUGAGAGAACUCGGGAGAAGGAACUCGGCAAAUUGACACCGUAACUUCGGAAGAAGGUGUGCCGUAGUACCGUGAGAGGAGAGACACCUUGAGCGGGAAACGGUCUCAGAGAAUAGGUGGCUGCGACUGUUUAUUAAAAACACAGCACUCUGCAAAGUCGAAAGACGACGUAUAGGGUGUGAUGCCUGCCCGGUGCUGGAAGAUUAAUUGAUGGGGUGAGAGCCCUUGAUCGAAGUCCCAGUAAACGGCGGCCGUAACUAUAACGGUCCUAAGGUAGCGAAAUUCCUUGUCGGGUAAGUUCCGACCUGCACGAAUGGCAUAACGAUGGCCACACUGUCUCCUCCCGAGACUCAGUGAAGUUGAAAUGUUUGUGAUGAUGCAAUCUACCCGCGGCUAGACGGAAAGACCCCAUGAACCUUUACUGCAGCUUUGCAUUGAACUGUGAACCGAUUUGUGUAGGAUAGGUGGGAGGCAGAGAAGAGGCCACGCCAGUGGCCUUGGAGCCGACCUUGAAAUACCACCCUGAUUUGUUUGCGGUUCUAACCACGGACAGUGAUCCUGUCUUGGGACCGUGCAUGGUAGGCAGUUUGACUGGGGCGGUCUCCUCCUAAAGGGUAACGGAGGAGUACGAAGGUACGCUAGGUACGGUCGGAAAUCGUGCUGAUAGUGCAAUGGCAAAAGCGUGCUUGACUGCGAGAGCAACAACUCGAGCAGAUGCGAAAGCAGGUCAUAGUGAUCCGGUGGCUCUGAAUGGAAGGGCCAUCGCUCAACGGAUAAAAGGUACUCUGGGGAUAACAGGCUGAUACCGCCCAAGAGUUCAUAUCGACGGCGGU
rnacentral:rRNA from 1 species